rnacentral:rRNA from 1 species
UCGGAAGCAAAGCAGGGUUGGGCCCGGACAGUACUUGGAUGGGGGACCUCCUGGGAAGCGCGGGUGCUGUAGACUGU